rnacentral:tRNA from 1 species
GAGGGUAUAGCUCAAGUGGUAGAGCGCAUGUUUAGCAUGCACAAGGUUCUGGGUUCAAUCCCCAGUAUCUCCU